rnacentral:rRNA from 1 species
GAUUGAACGCUGGCGGUAUGCUUAACACAUGCAAGUCGAACGGAAACGAUACUAGCUUGCUAGUAGGCGUCGAGUGGCGGACGGGUGAGUAACGCGUAGGAAUCUGCCUGAUAGUGGGGGAUAGCCCGAAGAAAUUCGGAUUAAUACCGCAUAAUCUAUUCGUAGUAAAGUGGGGGACUUUCGAGCCUCACGCUAUCAGAUGAGCCUGCGUAAGAUUAGCUAGUUGGUAGGGUAAAAGCCUACCAAGGCAACGAUCUUUAGCUGGUCUGAGAGGAUGAUCAGCCACAUCGGGACUGAGACACGGCCCGAACUCCUACGGGAGGCAGCAGUGGGGAAUAUUGGACAAUGGGGGCAACCCUGAUCCAGCAAUACCGCGUGUGUGAAGAAGGCCUGAGGGUUGUAAAGCACUUUCAAUUGUGAAGAAAAGUUAACGGUUAAUAACCGUUAGCCUUGACGUUAACUUUAGAAGAAGCACCGGCUAACUCCGUGCCAGCAGCCGCGGUAAUACGGAGGGUGCAAGCGUUAAUCGGAAUUACUGGGCGUAAAGCGUGCGUAGGCGGUUUAUUAAGUCAGAUGUGAAAGCCCCGGGCUUAACCUGGGAACUGCAUUUGAAACUGGUCAACUAGAGUAUGGUAGAGGAAAGUGGAAUUUCUGGUGUAGCGGUGAAAUGCGUAGAUAUCAGAAGGAACAUCAAUGGCGAAGGCAGCUUUCUGGACCAAUACUGACGCUGAGGUACGAAAGCGUGGGUAGCAAACAGGAUUAGAUACCCUGGUAGUCCACGCCGUAAACGAUGAUAACUAGCCGUUGGGGGGAUUUACCCUUUAGUGGCGAAGCUAACGCGUUAAGUUAUCCGCCUGGGGAGUACGGCCGCAAGGUUAAAACUCAAAGGAAUUGACGGGGACCCGCACAAGCGGUGGAGCAUGUGGUUUAAUUCGAUGCAACGCGAAGAACCUUACCUGGUCUUGACAUCCUGCGAACUUUCUAGAAAUAGAUUGGUGCCUUCGGGAACGCAGUGACAGGUGCUGCAUGGCUGUCGUCAGCUCGUGUCGUGAGAUGUUGGGUUAAGUCCCGUAACGAGCGCAACCCCUAUCCUUAUUUGCCAGCACGUCAUGGUGGGAACUAUAAGGAGACUGCCGGUGAUAAACCGGAGGAAGGCGGGGACGACGUCAAGUCAUCAUGGCCCUUACGACCAGGGCUACACACGUGCUACAAUGGGAAGGACAAAGAGCCGCGAAGCCGCGAGGUGUAGCUAAUCUCAGAAACCUUUUCGUAGUCCGGAUUGGAGUCUGCAACUCGACUCCAUGAAGUCGGAAUCGCUAGUAAUCGUAGAUCAGAAUGCUACGGUGAAUACGUUCCCGGGUCUUGUACUCACCGC